rnacentral:rRNA from 1 species
GAUGAACGCUGGCGGCGUGCCUAAUACAUGCAAGUCGAGCGAAUGGAUUAAGAGCUUGCUCUUAUGAAGUUAGCGGCGGACGGGUGAGUAACACGUGGGUAACCUGCCCAUAAGACUGGGAUAACUCCGGGAAACCGGGGCUAAUACCGGAUAACAUUUUGAACCGCAUGGUUCGAAAUUGAAAGGCGGCUUCGGCUGUCCCUUAUGGAUGGACCCGCGUCGCAUUAGCUAGUUGGUGAGGUAACGGCUCACCAAGGCAACGAUGCGUAGCCGACCUGAGAGGGUGAUCGGCCACACUGAGACUGAGACACGGCCCAGACUCCUACGGGAGGCAGCAGUAGGGAAUCUUCCGCAAUGGACGAAAGUCUGACGGAGCAACGCCGCGUGAGUGAUGAAGGCUUUCGGGUCGUAAAACUCUGUUGUUAGGGAAGAACAAGUGCUAGUUGAAUAAGCUGGCACCUUGACGGUACCUAACCAGAAAGCCACGGCUAACUACGUGCCAGCCGCCGCCGUAA